rnacentral:rRNA from 1 species
GACAGAGGGUGCAAACGUUGUUCGGAAUUACUGGGCGUAAAGCGCGCGUAGGCAGCCGCGUGUGUCGGGCGUGAAAUCCCAUGGCUCAACCAUGGAAGUGCACUCGAAACUGCGCAGCUAGAGUCUCGGAGAGGAAGGCGGAAUGCUUGGUGUAGAGGUGAAAUGCGUAGAUAUCUGGAGGAACACCGGUGGCGAAGGCGGCAUCCUGGACCAACACUGACGCUGAGGAGCGAAAGCCAGGGGAGCAAACGGG